GGUUAUAGUUUAAUUGGUAAACUGCGAUUUUGCAUAUCGUUAUCUCAGGUUCGACCCCUGAUAACUCCA
rnacentral:tRNA from 1 species